rnacentral:rRNA from 1 species
UACAGAGGUGGCAAGCGUUGUUCGGAAUUACUGGGCGUAAAGGGCGCGUAGGCGGCCUUCUAAGUCAGACGUGAAAUCCCCCGGCUUAACCUGGGAACUGCGUCUGAUACUGGAGGGCUUGAGUGCGGGAGAGGGAUGUGGAAUUCCAGGUGUAGCGGUGAAAUGCGUAGAUAUCUGGAGGAACACCAGCGGCGAAGGCGGCAUCCUGGACUGGUACUGACGCUCAUGAGCGAAAGCGUGGGGAGCGAUCCGG